ensembl:lncRNA
GCAGACAGAGGACAACCUCCAGAGUUUAAAAGUGAAGCCAACACUGAAGUGACAAAAACUGCAGUUCCUUUUCUGGCCUUUUGAAAAAAAAAGAUUGAAUUUCCAUAGUCUAAUGUUAAAAGUGCAACAUCAUACCAUUAAAAAGCAUGUUUACAGCCUAAUAAAAACACUUCCGCCUCUAUGGAAAGUUUUCCCUUUCAAAACAACUCAGAGUUGCUAAUCGACUUAUGGGUGUGCCUUGCUGUUUGACAGGUCUCCUGACUCACUGGCAAGUGAGCUGAUCGGCCUCAUUCACUGGAUUGCUGCUGGAGCCUUUUGGAGCGUGUUAACGGAUUAUCUCGCUGGUGUUACGGCUCACUAUGGGGAGCAGACCAUCCCGGGAGAUUGUACUUUACUUUUGGUUUCUCGUCACCUAAAUGGCUCGCAAAGAUGAAGCUGCAGUGGAAAAUAGGCUGUUCGGCACCCGUGCAGACCACGGUUUAUCCCUCUCCUUUGUUUACCGCCACGGACAGCGGUCCUGGUGCACGAAGUCCUCCC